rnacentral:rRNA from 1 species
UACGUAGGGUGCAAGCGUUAUCCGGAAUUAUUGGGCGUAAAGAGCUCGUAGGCGGUUUGUCGCGUCUGCUGUGAAAACUGGAGGCUCAACCUCCAGCCUGCAGUGGGUACGGGCAGACUAGAGUGCGGUAGGGGAGAUUGGAAUUCCUGGUGUAGCGGUGGAAUGCGCAGAUAUCAGGAGGAACACCGAUGGCGAAGGCAGAUCUCUGGGCAGUAACUGACGCUGAGGAGCGAAAGCAUGGGGAGCGAACAGG